AUGAAACUUUUUUAUUAAAUAACAAUAACAAAUUUUAACUUCUAUAAAGUCUAAAGCUAUUGACUCGAUUACAUUAUCCUCUCGCAACAUUUCUCUCGCAUCUUGAAAUCGUUCCGUAAAUGAGAAAUUGUUCCUAAAAUUAAUGUUUACUCCCGAAAUCGUUCUCUGAAAUCACAUUUAAAAUCGCAUCGCGCACGUUCUUCUCUCCCUUUCAGUUUGAUUGCUCUCGUUUUCACAGCUACUAGAUUUUUUUUUUAGAUUCAAAGUGGCACAACAUCAAUAAGAUUAGAAGCUGCUUCUUGUUCUUUUGAAGAUUAUAUAUAUUAAUGUGUUAUUGCUAAGAUUACUUUGAUCUUGAAGUGGCUUAUUGCUUGAAUACCCCUUGUAUAAUUGUGCUUGUUAGACAUUUGUUAGUGGAUUUUUUUUUUAUGCAAUUGGAGAUAUUUGUAUCAGUUCAUGAUUAUGAACUAUUGAGAUUUAUGCAAGUUGUUUGCAUGGAUGCUUCAAUUAUUUAAUUAUUCGUGUUCUUGUAUGAUUCUGUGUUCUUGUAUGAUUCUAUUAGUAAUCUCUGUAGCACUGACACCUCUAAUUAAAGGCGUGCCCUAGUGUCCGACAAAUCUUGUUGUCAGAUACUUUAAUUACAUUUAAUUAAUUAAUUAAUU
rnacentral:lncRNA from 1 species